UAUAUUCAUUUAUAUUUUGAAACUUAUGCAUGCAGUUCUGAAGUCUACAAUUAAGCUUUUUAUUUAAACAUUAAAAAAUAAGAUAUGAUUUUUUUUUAUCUUAAAGAUGACCAAGAAAAACUUUAAAAAACUUUUAAAAAAUCAGUGUGUUCCAUCAAUGUAACAGAAAAGCAAAAACAAAAACAACUAACUUCCAUGUGAUUAGAAAAUUACUCUUAAUGACAAUACUUUUCAGUAGAAUACAUAUUAAUGUUAGAAAAAUAACUGUUCUGCUCAUUUUAUGUCAGAUGAAAAAUUAGCUUUGCUUUACUUCAUUUGCCUUGUGGUAACCUCUGCGGUAAGUCACUGAAUUUACAGAGCCACAGGAAAGACAGAGGAAAGUUGUACAUGUUAUAGAAAAUAAAAGAUUUUGUAAUCAUGGUUUUUGCAGUUUUUCUGACAUCAUGUACUCUAUUACUUCAAUAAAACAAAACUUCCAUGGUCUAUUUUUAAAUAAAGAUUUGAAAUUCAUAAUGCAACACAUAAAAUAUCCAUUAGUAUAUUCCCUUAGAUUUUCAGGGAGCUUGCACAAUAUUUAAACUGUAUAACACAUGACAUUUCAACAUAUUACAGGCAUGGUAGACUCCUUACAUGCAUAUAAUGCAAAUGUCAUUCCUUACGGUAAAACAAAUAUUUACACAGAAUGAUGAAGAACAAAAAUACAAAAUGUGUCUAAAGUUUCUAAUCUUUCAAAUGUAUUCUUUGCAUAAAGUUAAUUAAUAAAAUAUUCUUCACACACAUUUUAUAUGGCACACAGUUUCUGAUUUUUAUGUCCUUGCUUGCAGUCGUUUCACCCAUUAGAUAGGCAAUGAUGCAGUUUUAAGUUUUCUUUCCAUGCUUUGGUUCGUGUCUUGUAACGCGGUCAAUGAAAAAUGACAAGUAUUCAAAAGAUUAAUAAUAAAUAAAUUAAGAGUUAAA